CAAUAGCGUAUAUUUAAGUUGCUGCAGUUAAAAAGCUCGUAGUUGGAUUUCGGGUGGGAAUGGCCGGUCCGCCGUUUCGGUGUGCACUUGCUACGCCCACCUUGCUGCCGGGGACGUGCUCUUGAGUUCACGCUCGGGACACGGAGUCGGCGAGGUUACUUUGAGUAAAUUAGAGUGUUCAAAGCAGGCCUACGCUCUGAAUACAUUAGCAUGGAAUAACACGAUAGGACUCUGGCCUAUCUUGUUGGUCUGUAGGACCGGAGUAAUGAUUAAGAGGGACAGUCGGGGGCACUCGUAUUUCGUUGUCAGAGGUGAAAUUCUUGGAUUUAUGAAAGACGAACUACUGCGAAAGCAUUUGCCAAGGAUGUUUUCAUUAA
rnacentral:rRNA from 1 species